UCAGGGACAGAGGGUGAGGAAUUGACUAUUCCCGAGGGCAGGGAAGCACAGCUCCAGGUCUACCUGACAACAAGGCAGGUUGCCUACUUCCCUUCAUUUGAUCCAGACUCCACCUGAUGUCUAAGUUCCCUCCCGAAGCAGGAACAAGGAGUUGACACUUUGGAAAGAAAACAGAAACUCAAAGGAUGAUACUGAUCCGGAACAUGUGACUCAUUAGUAGUCCAUGGGCGAGUGUAACCACAAAGUGAUAACUUGCAAGUGAGCUUUCUGUUCUGUCCUUCCGCGGUUACAGAUUAAAAACAAAUUACAUCGGCCCUUAGAUGUGCCAGACUCACCGCUCCACGAGCAUUCCCAAAGCUUCUCUUUUUAUCUCUUGUUUAAACAAAGUUAGGUAUCCCAAGGGAAUAUUGCUAUGACAUCCAGAAACUCCCCAAAGCACUGCGUCCCUAAGGCGAAGACAGAGAUGUAAGCCACGGUGCUGGCAGAGACACUUCUCGUGGACUUACGCAUUGAAACCCUUCUCGCCCAUUGCAGAGGCGGAGUUUGACCCUCCGCACCCGAGCCUGGAACAUCAGUCCUGAUACCACGACUCCUCUCAGACAGUAGGAAGCCUGACAUGGGAGAGGGACAGAGAGCAAGGACUGCGGUCUGCUGCUCAGGACCAGGAGGAGUCCUCCACGAGAGGUAGAUGCCGAUUUCCAUGGGCAGAUGCCACAGGUUUCCAAACAUCACAGAACGAGACUCUUCAUUAUAGAGCAAAAUAUUUCAUGCGUGUAAAACUUUCCUGUUACUUGAACUAAAAACUUGUAAAAAGAAAAAAUAGUCUUAGCAAGAAAGCAGAAGACAAAUGUUAAAAAUGCAGUGAGCCUAUGUGUGCAGUGACUAUCACAGAAAGCCUCUGACAUCCUAGGUGCUAUUGUGUCUAAAUAUGGACUUUGUCCUACGAGUCAGAUUAGGACAUUCUGAAUUUCCUUUCCUGAAUUAUGUGUGCAUUAUCAUUAAAGGCUUCAUUCCUUGCUGAGCGUCAACUCAUGAGGGGCACGGGAUGGUGGAGGAACAGCAGCUGUGUCUGUUCUGAGCCCCUGGACAGGGCCUCCGACCUCUCCCCACCCAGGGAUCCUCAGACAUCCUCUUCACCAGCUUUCUUCAAAACUGGACAUGUCCUACAGGAUAGCAAUUAAGCUGAAGACUGGUUUUCCCUGACUGGUUGCCUUUUUAGGGAACCUCAAGUUUCGAAGGUGGCAGCACCAAGACUUGCCUGGCCUUUGCUGUGCAUUGAGCAGUGAAACGGAAGCCGUGAGCCUUGGACUCGAGCUGCUGACAGAGCAGCCCUCAUGGGAUGUGGCUGUGGAAUUUCCCAUUUCUGUGUGAGAAUCUUUCCUCAGAAGAGCGGUGAGACCCAGCUGUACGUGUGCACAGUCACGUGGCUACAGGGGUAGCAGCACUCACUUGCUCUCCCCUCAGGUCUGCCAGGUGCUGCCCUCUGUCAGCUAGAUGUCUGUCUUCCUCCUCCAGGUGCCCAUCAGGAAGUAUUGGUGGCUUUUGCUUCAGCUUUCAAUAUGUUGUGCUGAAUUUGUUCAGAACAUUUAAAUUCAUAAAAAUCCUUUGGGAGAAAUUAAAAUUUUUAAGUAAAGAUUCACCCCUUAUGUGUCUGUCCCUGCCCAUUGUGUAGGGGUUAGCAAUGGAUGGUUCCUGAAGCUUGGCUGUGGGACAUAGGAGGAGAGAAUAUGAGAUUUUCUAAGGAAAAUUUGGCACGCACCCCUCCACCCCACUUGAAAAUAAUGAGUAAGAGUCACUGAAAUUCUCACACAUUAACCUUACUCAUGUGUGCUUGAGAAAAACACCUAUGAGAGAAGCAGCCUUGUCUAUUAACAACUUGAUUCAGCUGUGUAUUCAGGCCUGAAAGGCAUUUGGGCACCAUGUGUGACUGAUUACAUCAGCUCACUCUUCCUUCAGGGUUUUCUGUUGGUUUCCAUGUCACUGUGGAAUGAUUGCACCCAAAGACAUCCUUCCGAAGGGCCACUUACAGGACA